rnacentral:rRNA from 1 species
UACGUAGGUGGCGAGCGUUGUCCGGAUUUAUUGGGCGUAAAGCGCGCGCAGGCGGUCCGCGAAGUCCACGGUGAAAUCUCCCGGCUCACCUGGGAGGGGGCCGUGGGGACUGGCGGACUGGAGGGGCUUAGAGGCCGGUGGAAUUCCCGGUGUAGUGGUGAAAUGCGUAGAGAUCGGGAGGAACACCAGUGGCGAAGGCGGCCGGCUGGGGGUCACCUGACGCUGAGGCGCGAAAGCGUGGGGAGCGAACCG